AUUACCGCCCCGUCAUAGGAGAGAACCAUCCGCCAUGCGGGCAGGUGGGCAGAGCAUGUAUCAAUGCGCGCGGGCCGAGGUGAGCGGGUCACGACCUUGCUCGGUCUCACUCCCAGCCGGGUCACCCAGCGCCCAAGACGUGCCCUCCUCGACUCCUCCCGGACCAGCCUGCAGAAAGGACAGCGUGGUGCAGCGGUAAGCCGAAGCCCUGACCGACGAAGCUGGUUUUCAUCGAAGCAGACUGGAGGAGGGAGUACACCAGUGGAACGCCUGGGCGUAGUGCUGACACAACGCGCAGUGUAAUGGUCAGCACAUUCGGCUUACAACCGUGAAGGCCUGGAUUCGAGUCCCGGGCGUGGCAAGACAAAUGGAGGAGUCUUUUAAGUGUAGCCCCUGCUCACCUAACCAGUAGAUACGGGAUGUAAGCCGAAGGUGAGAAAAGUUCCGCUGUGCCAGUUCUUGAAGAAAACGGUCCGAAAGAAUAUCCGAAAUUAUGCGGAGAAGUGUCUUGAAACUUCCCUCACAGGCAGUACAUGGGGUGAAAGACCUAUAUAAGAAGGUCACAGGCCUAGGGCAACGGAAAAGAAAAAAAAAAAGACCCGCUGAGGUGACAGUUCCGAAAGAAAAAGAGCCAAAUAGAUUAUCCAAAACUGGAAGGGUGCGUUGGACGUCUAGGAAAAAAAACGUGGAAAAGUUCAGUGGCAUCAUCACCACAGGAGUGAAUUGAUUUAGGAGAUCACUGAUGAAUACUCCAAAGAAAAUGGAUGAGAGGACCAAACCCUGAGGAACGCCGCUGUUACUGGACUUUGAGGAAAACAGCGUCCGCCUACCUCAAAGACAGCAAAACUGUCAGAAAGAAAACAAAGUGGGAAAGAUGAAAGUCGUGGGAGAGUAGUUUGGGAAUUGAAAUUUGUGCCAGACUCAAUCGUAAAGGAAGUUGUUUCAGUGAGAAUGGUCAGAUCACCAGAACGGCCACGACGAAACCCAUACAGGUGAUCAGAUAUGAAGUUAGGA